AGUGAACGCUGGCGGUAGGCCUAACACAUGCAAGUCGAACGGCAGCACAGUAAGAGCUUGCUCUUACGGGUGGCGAGUGGCGGACGAGUGAGGAAUACAUCGGAAUCUACUUUUUCGUGGGGGAUAACGUAGGGAAACUUACGCUAAUACCGCAUACGACCUACGGGUGAAAGCAGGGGAUCUUCGGACCUUGCGCGAAUGAAUGAGCCGAUGUCGGAUUAGCUAGUUGGCGGGGUAAAGGCCCACCAAGGCGACGAUCCGUAGCUGGUCUGAGAGGAUGAUCAGCCACACUGGAGCUGAGACGCGGUCCAGACUCCUACGGGAGGCAGCAGUGGGGAAUAUUGGACAAUGGGCGCAAGCCUGAUCCAGCCAGACCGCGUGGGUGAAGAAGGCCUUCGGGUUGUAAAGCCCUUUUGUUGGGAAAGAAAAGCAGCAGGUUAAUACCCCGCUGUUCUGACGGUAACCAAAGAAUAAGCACCGGCUAACUUCGUG
rnacentral:rRNA from 1 species